GGCAGACGGGUGAGUAACGCGUGGGAACGUGCCCUUCAGUUCGGGAUAACCCAGGAAACUUGGGCUAAUACCGGAUAGCGUGCGAGAGCAGAAAGAUUGAUCGCUGAAGGAUCGGCCCGCGUCUGAUUAGCUAGUUGGUGAGGUAAUGGCUCACCAAGGCGACGAUCAGUAGCUGGUCUGAGAGGAUGAUCAGCCACAUUGGGACUGAGACACGGCCAAACUCCUACGGGAGGCAGCAGUGGGGAAUAUUGGACAAUGGGCGCAAGCCUGAUCCAGCCAUGCCGCGUGAGUGAUGAAGGCCUUAGGGUUGUAAAGCUCUUUCGUCCGGGACGAUAAUGACGGUACCGGAAGAAGAAGCCCCGGCUAACUUCGUGCCAGCCGCCGCGG
rnacentral:rRNA from 1 species